ACUGUUCCUGUCAUAGGGGGUAUAGCUGUUGCAGUGAUCGUUAAGUGAGCUCAGCUUUGCUAACACCCAUAACAAUAGCCCGCAUCGCACCUCCUUUUUAGGGGUUUGUUUGGAUGCAAUUUUUGGAGGU